rnacentral:rRNA from 1 species
UGGGGAGGUCAUUUUGAAAGAAAUUUGAGUCUGGUGUCGCUGGGUGUCUUUGCAGCAUGUGCACGCCUUUUUUUUUUAUUCACACACACCCCCGUGCACUUGUGAGAGUGGAGGCCGUAAAAAAGCCUUCAGUUUGGUAAAUUCAUAUACCAACUCAUUUAAUUGAACUGAAUGUACUUGAUGUAACGCAUCAUUGAAAUAAGUUUCAACAACGGAUUUUUUGGCUUUUGCAUUGAUGAAGGACGCAGGGAAAUGCGAUAAGUAAUGUGAAUUGCAGAAUUCAGUGAAUCCUUGAAUUUUUGAACGCCCCCUGCGGUCCUUGGUAUUCCUUGGAGCAUGCCUGUUUGAGUAUCCUGAAAUUUUCAAAGUAAACCUUUUGUUAAUUCAACUGGUCUUGCUUUGGAAUUGGAGGUUUUUGCAGAAGUCACCGUUUGCUCCUUUUAAAUAAAUUAGGUGGAUUUCCGUAUACACUUGGUUUCCCUUGGGGUGAUAAGUAUCCCUCGGUGAGGACACUGUAAAAAGGUGGCCAGGCAAUACAGAUGAACCGCUUCUAAUAGUCCAUUGACUUGGACAAUUACAUUUAUGAUCUGAUCUCAAAUCAGGUAGACUACCGCUGACUUACGCAAU